GAUGAACGCUGGCGGCGUGCCUAAUACAUGCAAGUCGAGCGAACGGACGAGAAGCUUGCUUCUCUGAUGUUAGCGGCGGACGGGUGAGUAACACGUGGAUAACCUACCUAUAAGACUGGGAUAACUUCGGGAAACCGGAGCUAAUACCGGAUAAUAUUUUGAACCGCAUGGUUCAAAAGUGAAAGACGGUUUUGCUGUCACUUAUAGAUGGAUCCGCGCUGCAUUAGCUAGUUGGUAAGGUAACGGCUUACCAAGGCAACGAUGCAUAGCCGACCUGAGAGGGUGAUCGGCCACACUGGAACUGAGACACGGUCCUGACUCCUACGGGAGGCAGCAGUAGGGAAUCUUCCGCAAUGGGCGAAAGCCUGACGGAGCAACGCCGCGUGAGUGAUGAAGGUCUUCGGAUCGUAAAACUCUGUUAUUAGGGAAGAACAUAUGUGUAAGUAACUGUGCACGUCUUGACGGUACCUAAUCAGAAAGCCACGGCUAACUACGUG
rnacentral:rRNA from 1 species